UCUCUCUCUUUCUCUCUCUCUCUCUCUUUCUCUCUGGAUAUGUACCUUAGGAGGCCUGAGUUAACAUGUAAGAUGUCUAACUAUCCCGAAGCCACUAUGCUGGAAGGAUCACAUGGAGAGACCACAUAGAGAUACAAAGAUGCCUGAGGAAACCCAGCUGUUCAGCACAGAUGUUUUUUAGUUUUCCCGUUGCCCAGGCAUGCGAGUGAGUGAGCUUUCCAAAGACUUUAACCCCAGCCUUUGAGCUGCCAGAGCUGACAUGAAGUAGAACAGAGAUGAGCUGAGCUUUGCCCCACCUGCAGAUGUAACUUCCCACAUACACCCCUUUUGGCUGAGCUGUAUGGCCAUAAGCGUAGAGACUUGCAGCUGUAUGUGGCCGUGAAUGAGAGACCCAGAGAUGGAAGCUUCACAGCAUUUGUGGCAGUAGCGGCAGAAAUGCAUCACACAUUUGAGUCCCUAGAUGGCCUUGUGGAGAAACGUCUACCUGCCACCCUGGACUAUUAGAAAUAUUCUUCAAACAAAACCUUAUGAGGAACAGAACCAUAGCUCCUGAAACUGUGUGAAAGCAAGAGAAAGAGAGUCUUUUGUCAAUAGUCUGUCCACACAUAUCCAGACCCAACCCAAAGUUACAACCUGACCUCCACGAUCACUUUCCCUCACAGGGACCGCACUAUGAGGAACACGCCAAAGUUGAGAAAGGGUAAGAUUCUUGCCCAACCUCAAGACCAGUGCUAUUCUCUUCACGCCAAGGCAGGAAGAUCACUGAAGCCCAGAAGUUCGAGGCUAAAAUGAGCUAUGAUUGUGCCAACGCACUUCAUCCUAGGCAACAUAGCAAAACCCUAUCUCUAAAAUAUAAACAAGUAAAAUAAAUUUAAAAAUAAUUGUGGCGUGUGGCAAUUAUUGAUAAUGCCUCAUAGCCCCAAAUUCAUCCCUGGUUGCCUUCCCUGUGAAAAUAAAUCUAGGCCCUUCACCUUUAUUUUUUUCUUUUUUGGCUAUCAUGAUGCUAAACUUAUCAGUAGAGGGCAAUACAAAGACAUUUCAAGAAGGCAGAGGCUUCCCUCCUGGUAGUGCACUUUUUCCCCACUGUCUAUUCCACGUGGUUUUCACCAUUGUCAAGGGCUUAGAGGGUACAGCUUUCACAGUGUGUUUUCUACAGUUCUUGACUCAGGAAACAAUGGCAUAGUGGAAGCCCCAGAAAAAUCUGACCUGUGCGCUAGCCCUGUUAACUGCUGCCCACAACCCUGAGUGAUAUGAAUGUAAGGGGUACUGUGGAGCUGAUAAUCAGCAAGCUUGUGGCAUGACCUCCAUCCUGUGUAGCCCAGAGCCACCCUACCCAAGCCACAAAUAGAAAAGCUCUGGGUUUUGAUGCUGACUCUCUAUGGUCCCACUUCUUAGCCUAAGAUCACCUGUGCCCUAGAGAGUUGUACCUACUUCGCCUGGUGACUGUGGACCAGCUCUGCAGGAAGCAAUUUACCAAAUGUCUCUGCGAUCCAGUGGUCAGCAAUUACACCUUCUUCAGUGUGGUCAUAGCCUCUUUCCAAAUUUGUCCUUCCUUAACUACUCUCCCUGUUUUCAUGUUUAUAGUUGUUCUCUUAUCAUUGUUUAAUAAUUUUUAUGUUAAAUUUCCCAUGUUUAAAUUACUAAGUCGAUAUUGUCUCUUGAUUGUACCCAGGCCAAUAAAUGGUACUAUAAAUAUUGUGUUUAUAUUUCAAUAUACAUUGUUUUAAGGUGACUCCCAUGGAGUUUAUAAGCAAGAUAAUGCUUGAGCAAAAUCUAGUACAUUGCAAUAACCUAGGUGACCACAUCAUUUCUCGUGCAAUAAUCAUUUUUAUGUCUCAUAAGAUAUAUGAAUAUAUUAUAAAUUAGAAACAGGAAUAAUUAAACAGAAAACAAUAGCAUAUGACAUGGCAAAGGCAAUAAAAUAAAUAUAUAGGCAAUAUAGGAGCAACUAUGAAAGACUAGGACUUGCAAUAUCAUAUAAAGGAAUUUAAGAACCGAAAUUGAGUAGUCAUUCUUGUUAACAGUGUAUUCAUUUUGUUUUCAUAAUCUUAUUAUCAUGCUGUAACUGUGCUAUAAAAGAGAUAUUGACAAAGACAUGCUUCAGUUAAGGCAGUUUACAUAUGAGCAAAAAAUUUUGGAAACAUUGGAAUUGUUAGUAUAA
rnacentral:lncRNA from 10 species